rnacentral:misc_RNA from 1 species
UCGAGUUAGGGUCUUCUAGGCCCGAUCUCCAACCAUUUGUCUAAUUACCAUGUUGCUUUGGCAAGCCCGUCUUUCACCGGACUGCCGGAGGCUUUCGAGCCUCUGGCCCGUGCUCGCCAGUAGCCCACAACCAAAUUCUUUUAACCACGUUAAAUCUGAAAAUAGUUAAAUAAAUUA